rnacentral:rRNA from 1 species
UACAGAGGGUGCAAGCGUUGUUCGGAAUUAUUGGGCGUAAAGCGCGUGUAGGCGGCUUUGCAAGUCGGGUGUGAAAGCCCUCAGCUUAACUGAGGAAGUGCGCCCGAAACUGCAUGGCUUGAGUACCGGAGAGGAUGGCGGAAUUCCCGAAGUAGAGGUGAAAUUCGUAGAUAUCGGGAGGAACACCGGUGGCGAAGGCGGCCAUCUGGACGGAUACUGACGCUGAGACGCGAAAGCGUGGGUAG